rnacentral:rRNA from 1 species
AUGAACGCUAGCUACAGGCUUAACACAUGCAAGUCGAGGGGCAGCAUUUCAGUUUGCUUGCAAACUGGAGAUGGCGACCGGCGCACGGGUGAGUAACACGUAUCCAACCUGCCGAUAACUCGGGGAUAGCCUUUCGAAAGAAAGAUUAAUACCCGAUGGUAUAAUCAGACCGCAUGGUCUUGUUAUUAAAGAAUUUCGGUUAUCGAUGGGGAUGCGUUCCAUUAGGCAGUUGGUGAGGUAACGGCUCACCAAACCUUCGAUGGAUAGGGGUUCUGAGAGGAAGGUCCCCCACAUUGGAACUGAGACACGGUCCAAACUCCUACGGGAGGCAGCAGUGAGGAAUAUUGGUCAAUGGGCGCAGGCCUGAACCAGCCAAGUAGCGUGAAGGAUGACUGCCCUAUGGGUUGUAAACUUCUUUUAUAUGGGAAUAAAGUUUUCCACGUGUGGAAUUUUGUAUGUACCAUAUGAAUAAGGAUCGGCUAACUCCGUGCCAGCAGCCGCGGUAAUACGGAGGAUCCGAGCGUUAUCCGGAUUUAUUGGGUUUAAAGGGAGCGUAGGUGGACAGUUAAGUCAGUUGUGAAAGUUUGCGGCUCAACCGUAAAAUUGCAGUUGAUACUGGCUGUCUUGAGUACAGUAGAGGUGGGCGGAAUUCGUGGUGUAGCGGUGAGAUGCUUAGAUAUCACGAAGAACUCCGAUUGCGAAGGCAGCUCACUGGACUGCAACUGACACUGAUGCUCGAAAGUGUGGGUAUCAAACAGGAUUAGAUACCCUGGUAGUCCACACAGUAAACGAUGAAUACUCGCUGUUUGCGAUAUACAGUAAGCGGCCAAGCGAAAGCAUUAAGUAUUCCACCUGGGGAGUACGCCGGCAACGGUGAAACUCAAAGGAAUUGACGGGGGCCCGCACAAGCGGAGGAACAUGUGGUUUAAUUCGAUGAUACGCGAGGAACCUUACCCGGGCUUAAAUUGCAUUUGAAUAUAUUGGAAACAGUAUAGCCGUAAGGCAAAUGUGAAGGUGCUGCAUGGUUGUCGUCAGCUCGUGCCGUGAGGUGUCGGCUUAAGUGCCAUAACGAGCGCAACCCUUAUCUUUAGUUACUAACAGGUCAUGCUGAGGACUCUAGAGAGACUGCCGUCGUAAGAUGUGAGGAAGGUGGGGAUGACGUCAAAUCAGCACGGCCCUUACGUCCGGGGCUACACACGUGUUACAAUGGGGGGUACAGAAGGCAGCUACCUGGUGACAGGAUGCUAAUCCCAAAAGCCUCUCUCAGUUCGGAUCGAAGUCUGCAACCCGACUUCGUGAAGCUGGAUUCGCUAGUAAUCGCGCAUCAGCCAUGGCGCGGUGAAUACGUUCCCGGGCCUUGUACACACCGCCCGUCAAGCCAUGAAAGCCGGGGGUACCUGAAGUACGUAACCGCAAGGAGCGUCCUAGGGUAAAACUGGUAAUUGGGGCU